UUGCUCUUCAACGAGGAAUGCCUAGUAAGCGCGAGUCAUCAGCUCGCGUUGACUACGUCCCUGCCCUUUGUACACACCGCCCGUCGCUCCUACCGAUUGAAUGGUCCGGUGAAGUGUUCGGAUCGCGGCGACGGGGGCGGUUCGCCGCCCCCGACGUCGCGAGAAGUCCAUUGAACCUUAUCAUUUAGAGGAAGGAGAAGUCGUAACAAGGUUUCCGUAGGUGAACCUGCGGAAGGAUCAUUGUCGUGACCCUGACCAAAACAGACUGCGCACGCGUCAUCCAAUCCGUCGGCGACGGCACCGUCCGUCGCUCGGCCAAUGCCUCGACCACCUCCCCUCCUCGGAGCGGGUGGGGGCUCGGGGUAAAACAACCCACGGCGCCGAAGGCGUCAAGGAACACUGUGCCUAACCCGGGGGCAUGUCUAGCUUGCUAGCCGUCCCUCGUGUUGCAAAUCUAUUUAAUCCACACGACUCUCGGCAACGGAUAUCUCGGCUCUCGCAUCGAUGAAGAACGUAGCGAAAUGCGAUACCUGGUGUGAAUUGCAGAAUCCCGCGAACCAUCGAGUCUUUGAACGCAAGUUGCGCCCGAGGCCACUCGGCCGAGGGCACGCCUGCCUGGGCGUCACGCCAAAACACGCUCCCAACCACUCUCAACGGGAAUCGGGAUGCGGCAUCUGGUCCCUCGUCUCUCAAGGGACGGUGGACCGAAGAUUGGGCUGCCGGCGUACCGCGCCGGACACAGCGCAUGGUGGGCGUCCUCGCUUUAUCAAUGCAGUGCAUCCGGCGCGCAGCUGGCAUUAUGACCUUUGAACGACCCAACAAACGAAGCGCACGUCGCUUCGACCGCGACCCCAGGUCAGGCGGGACUACCCGCUGAGUUUAAGCAUAUCAAUAAGCGGAGGA
rnacentral:rRNA from 1 species